rnacentral:lncRNA from 14 species
UGAUAGGUAAAGGAACGUUUCUGUUCUUUGAAGUGCCUGUACCCACUUAAAAAUCAGAUUUUGCAAAAUGAUUCAUCUGAUUCAAGUUUGCAUAAUACAUUGUUCUAAGUGCUUGCUUACUGGCAGAAAGGUUUAGAUUUCACAUGAUAAUGGUUAUUUAUAGGCAGUGACACAGCUUUGGAAGAGUCCAUUUGGAAAGAAUAGGUGGUUUGUAGGGAAGAUUUUCAUCUGUGUGAACUAAUUACAGAAGCAAGAAGUUUUAUGGAUGUGGACUGGUGGCUGUUUGAGCAAUGAAGGUCACAAAUGCACCUCAUUCUUCUGCAGAACUGCAGAUAGCCCUCACAACAAUACGAACAGUCUUGCAGUGGAAUCCAAGCACAAGCUCACUGACUCUACUGGAUUAUGGGGUUCCAUGAAUCCAUUUGCAGGAUUUCUGUCCACACAAAACAGCACUGAGGCUCCAUGACAACAUUUCAGUAAUGGAACACUGAAGGGUCAGGGACUGGAUACAGCUGGCUCCAUGACAGACCUACCACAGAACACAGACAAGCCCAUCAGCCAAGCUGGUGGCACCUCUGGGAAAACAUACUUAAGAAAAAGCAGAACACUUUGUGGCAGUGAGAAGUGAGGGAAAGUGUGAGGAACAACCCUAUGAACACUUAAGGUCAAAGAGGAGGAGGAAGAGGAGGAGGUGCUCCAGGCACUGGAGCAAUGAUUCCCCUGCAGCUUGUGGAGGGGAGCAUGGUUGAACAGGUAUUUCCAUUCAUUCUGUGGUGAGGGCCACUAUGGAACAGGUAUUUUGCUGCAGCCCAUACAGCCCAUGCCAAAAAGAUGGAUAUUUCCUGAAGGAGCUGUGAUCCAUGGACAGAAGCCCAUGCAGGAGCAAAUUCUGACAGAAAACAUGACCUGUGGAGGACUCCCACUGGAGCAGUUCAUAAAGGACUGCAGCCUAUGAGAAGGACCCAUGCUGGAGCAGGAGAAAAGUGUGAGGAGGAAGGAGCAGCAGAGAGGAGCGGUUAUGAACUCAUCACAACCUAACAUGUCCCAUCUACCAUUUGCUGCUCAGGGGUAAGGGGUAGACGAGUUGGGAAUGAAGGAGUGAACUCAAGCCUGGAAACAGGGUGGUGAGGGGAAGGUGUUGUUUUAAUUUUUGUCUUUGUUUCUCACCAGAUCUGUUUUAACUGGCAAUAAAUUAAAUCAGUUUUCCCCA